CUUGCACAAUAAUCACUGCACUUAAUUCUAAAUUAGACACAUAAUUUAAAAAAAAAACUUUUUACAGUCGCACAGAGCAAAAAAUAACAAAUUCAGCACAGCACUUUCUGCUCCUCAUCGCUGUUGCUCCUGGUUUUCUCUCGCGGCACUGUACGAGCCACUGCUCCAACACUACGACACAGCCACAGGUUUUGUUGUCUCCGUUCGCCGUGAAACACACAUAAAAUGGAAGAAAAAUGUUAUUAAUUAGGAGGGAGGAUGUUUGUUGAUAAUUUUAAUCACUUUUACUUACCUUAAAUAAAACCAAUCUCCAUUUUUCACGGGGUUUAUCCGCCGACUACCAAGCGCAGAAACACUACACAAGCACCAACCUCACUGGACUGAACGUAAAGCCUACUGCGUGAAUGUGUGUAUGCGCUUCUGCCAAGCCAACCGCGCCGUACUGCGUGUGUAGCCAAGUGCGUGUGUGUGUAUAUUUGCACCACUGGACACAGAACACAAAUCUCAUCGCACAGCAGAGCGUGUGUCGCCAAGUGUACCCAGGCUGCAAAUGACAGCUGAAAAGACGUCUUUUGGCGGUCUUUCGGGUCACCGAAAGUCCGCCGAAAGACGUCUAUAUAACACCAGUUUAGACCGACAUUGACAACACCAGCGAUGUUUUUCCUAUGCGAUGUAUUUUGAUGUCAAUGUCAAAACAUACAGUAUUGCCAGCAAAAAAAAAAUCAAAGCUUUGUUGCUGUCAUUCUAUCGUCUUGUUGAGCCGCGCACUGUCAAUCACACGUAUUGCGUUGUGCGUUUCGCUGAUAAGCUGUGGUGUGUGUUGUAUAUCGUUCUAAUGUUAGGUUAUUAUUUAGUGUAAGAGAUAUAGAUUUACCUUUUCAUUCUUCGAUGAAUGGAUUUGAACUCGUUCCUUCGAAUGUGCAGUACAUAUCCCCACCGCAGUAGUGAUUGGCCCAACGCUCCCCCGCUGAUAGACACGCAACUAUAGCGCUAUAUAAACCAUCAGGGACGCAGGAUGGAAAACGCAAAACGUCCGAGGUUCAUCGUUCAAAUGAAAAAUGGGAAGGCUGUAUUGUUACCGAUCAAUCAAGCAUCCUCUACUCCGCCAGUUAAAAUAAACUCCUAUCAUCAUUUACAUCCGGAUGUUUUGGAAGAUUUAUCCUCGUGCUCAGAUAAAACACAAACAUACGAAGAGCAUAACGAAAAUUUCAUCCAAACACCGAGCACCUCACGACAACACUUGCAAAAAAACCCACUUCCGAAGCAAAAAUCCUGUUCAACACAAACCAAUAGACAACCUGAAGGAGAUUAUUUAUGGAACGAAAUUAUCAACAAACUAGACUUAAUACAACAGGAGCAAAGACAGCAAGCAGAGAUAUCAAACAAGAGAAUAGCAGCUUUGGAAGGACAAAUCAAAUUGAUGCGCUCGGAAUUCAACAUUGUCUCUGACAAAUUGAUUCCUCGUCCAGGGUUUGUGGCUGUGUCGAGUUUUGAGUGGGAACCACUAGCAAACAAAAAUGAUCUGGACACGCUUGAAAAAAGAUUGUCGGAACCUGAGUUUAGAAAGAAUUUCAAUGACUAUUUAGAAACUCGUCUACCAUCAGAUUGUUCAGAAGAAAGGAUGCAUGCGGCUAUGGACAUAAUAUUUACAAAGGAGCUAGUGACUCAAAUCACGUGGACGGGCAUAAGUCGUCCCAUUGAAAAAAUAUGCUUUUUCGAAUACAAAAAUAUAAUUAGGCAAUUUAAAGACAUAGGAACAUACGGAGGUGUUACACCAUCUGAUAAAGCAAUCAAAGUUUUUUUUCAAAACAAAUUCAAGCAUGGUGGUCAAAGGCUAAACUUAGUUGGAUUAGUUAGAACUUCUCAUCAUCGACGCUAGAAAUCGUAUAAGUUGCUCAUUGUCGUUAUGUAAGUUAGAAAUGAAUGAAUUUAUUAAAUGUGUUCGGAAAUACCAUCAUGUGAUAUGAAAACCAUAAGAAUUGCAAUAAAGAUUAAAUUUAAAAUGUA